UACGUAGGGUGCAGGCGUUAGUCGGAAUUACUGGGCGUAAAGCGUGCGCAGGCGGUUUGCUAAGACAGGUGUGAAAUCCCCGGGCUUAACCUGGGAACUGCGCUUGUAACUGGCAAGCUUGAGUGUGGCAGAGGGGGGUGGAAUUCCACGUGUAGCAGUGAAAUGCGUAGAGAUGUGGAGGAACACCGAUGGCGAAGGCAGCCCCCUGGGCUAACACUGACGCUCAUGCACGAAAGCGUGGGGAGCAAACAGG
rnacentral:rRNA from 1 species